rnacentral:rRNA from 1 species
GUGCCAGACUCCUACGGGAGGCAGCAGUAGGGAAUAUUGCUCAAUGGGGGAAACCCUGAAGCAGCAACGCCGCGUGGAGGAUGAAGGUUUUAGGAUUGUAAACUCCUUUUGUGAGAGAAGAUAAUGACGGUAUCUCACGAAUAAGCACCGGCUAACUCCGUGCCAGCAGCCGCGGUAAUACGGAGGGUGCAAGCGUUACUCGGAAUCACUGGGCGUAAAGAGUGCGCAGGCGGGCUUGUAAGUCAGAUGUGAAAUCCUGUAGCUUAACUACAGAACUGCAUUUGAAACUAUGAGUCUAGAGUGUGGGAGAGGUAGGUGGAAUUCUUGGUGUAGGGGUAAAAUCCGUAGAUAUCAAGAGGAAUACUCAUUGCGAAGGCGACCUACUGGAACAUUACUGACGCUCAUGCACGAAAGCGUGGGGAGCAAACAGGAUUAGAUACCCCGGUA